GUUUAUUUAUUGUUUGUAGCUAUGGAUUUGAUGUGGGAGAACGCUUAACCCAGGGGCUGCCCUAUGUGUAUCCUCUUGGACCUAUAGUGGCUGAAUGUCCUUUUUGAGAUCCUGCAGCUGUUGACCCUGAGUGGGAGAAUGCCUUAUCCAGGUGUAGUCUUGUGCACACCUUUCCAGACCCAUAGCAGUGGUUUGGUUGCAGAGCUGUUAUUAUAUGGACAUUCUCCACACUUGGUAUACAGCAGUUCAGACAUGCAGCCCCAUUGGAAUGUGCUGAUAGAG